AUCUCUGGGCACAUGAAGCUUAUGGUGUAUAUCCAGAUAUAAUGACUCUUGCCAAGCCUCUAGCUGGAGGUCUCCCCAUUGGAGCCGUACUAGUGACCGAAAGAGUUGCUGCUGCAAUAAACUAUGGAGACCAUGGAAGCACUUUUGCAGGCUCACCUCUCGUCUGCAAUGCUGCAGUCGCCGUUGUAGACAAGAUCUCAGAUCCUGAGUUCUUGCGUAGUGUCUCCAGGAAAGGUGAAUACAUGAAGA
rnacentral:misc_RNA from 1 species